CAUUUAUUGUUGGCUGGUUUAAAGUGAGAAGCGUUUCUGGUUUUUCACUAACUUGUUUUGGAUUUGGAGAAAUUAUCUGGUUUAUUGGAACUAUAACGUCUCCAUUAACAAAAAGCUGUCCUCUAUGACUUCUCGAGACAAGAAAACACUCAUUGGGACUAAACACCAUUAUCCUCAACUGAGACUGUUGAUAUUCCUUUCUUGCCU